ACUGACGUUCAGCAUCUCCACGCUUUGCAUGGAGACAGCGAACUUUCCCAAUUGAGAUGCAUAAAUAAUAUGUCAGUUGAAAUUCUGGAAGAACCACUGUUACUUAUCCAACCCCCCCUCCUCCCCUUCUUUUUAAUGAAGAUGGGGAGUACUAUUUAAGAAAACUAAGCAGAAGGACGCUGUACUGUGUGAAAGUGGUAGGAAAACAGAAAAUGCACUAUAACUGAGAUAACAGAAUAAUUUAUAAAACAGUGGAUUUAAUAUUUGUUAUUAUGAAUAACAUGGUCAUUUCUAUUCAGGAUGGCUGCUCAUCAGCAACGCUAUGAACCCCUACCAGUUCCCGAUCUCCAGCGCCUUCUGUGGAGUCACAAAACAAGCACGGGACAUGUCAACCAAGUGUGGCCAAAACUGUAUCUGGGAGACGCG
rnacentral:lncRNA from 1 species